UGCCAGCCGCCGCGGUAAUACAGAGGGUGCGAGCGUUAAUCGGAGUUAUUGGGCGUAAAGGGUGCGUAGGCGGAUGCAUAAGUUAGAUGUGAAAGCCCUGGGCUUAACCUGGGAACUGCAUUUAAGACUGUGCAUCUAGAGUAGAGUAGAGGUAAGUGGAAUUUCCGGUGUAGCGGUGAAAUGCGUAGAUAUCGGAAGGAACAUCAGUGGCGAAGGCGACUUUCUGGACCAAAAUUGACGCUGAGGCACGAAAGCGUGGGUAGCAAACAGGAUUAGAUA
rnacentral:rRNA from 1 species